rnacentral:misc_RNA from 1 species
UUGUCUCCUGACCGCUGCAGUACCGAUUGGACUCGUCUCAGCUCAGGGCCCCGCCGGCCCCAACGGAGCGGAGUAGGUAGAAAGAGGAAUAGAGACAAGGAUGCUGCCGGGGUGGAGAAAGAUGCGUCGAGCCAUCGAUGCGAGGAGAGACGAGAGAAUGGCAAAGGCACUGCACCUGCACGCCGUCUCGUCGUCGUGGGAUUGGGAAGAGACGCGUCGGCCGGAGUGCAUGCCGGAACGGGGCUGGGCAUCUACCGCAACUACUACGUCCGCUCGUUGUUCGCCACGCGGACACCCUCGGAGCCUCGAGUCGCCUGCUCCACGUCCGGCGAUUCCGACUCGCCGCUCCUGUGCUGGUGUUUGCGUCCGGCGCCCCUCGUCUCCUCCGCCCGGCCACGACGUGCCCCAGCGACUCCGCUCCGCUAG